rnacentral:rRNA from 1 species
GGAGGAAAGUAGGGGAUCGCAAGACCUUGCGCUUUUGGAGCGGCCGAUGUCUGAUUAGCUAGUUGGUGGGGUAAUGGCUUACCAAGGCUUCGAUCAGUAGCUGGUCUGAGAGGACGACCAGCCACACUGGGACUGAGACACGGCCCAGACUCCUACGGGAGGCAGCAGUGGGGAAUUUUGGACAAUGGGGGAAACCCUGAUCCAGCCAUGCCGCGUGAGUGAAGAAGGCCUUCGGGUUGUAAAGCUCUUUCAGCCGGAACGAAAAGGUCACGGCUAAUACCCGUGACAAAUGACGGUACCGGAAGAAGAAGCACCGGCUAACUACGUGCCAGCAGCCGCGGUAAUACGUAGGGUGCAAGCGUUAAUCGGAAUUACUGGGCGUAAAGCGUGCGCAGGCGGUUUUGUAAGUCAGAUGUGAAAUCCCCGGGCUUAACCUGGGAACUGCGUUUGAAACUACAAAGCUAG